rnacentral:RNase_P_RNA from 1 species
UUGGAUUAUACGGUAGUCGCUCGCCGAAGAGGCGAGAGGAAAGUCCGGACACCCCUCCGACUCCGCCAGCUGGCGGAGGUUAGAGAACGUUGAUAGUCGCGAAAUGCGACCAGGAAGAGUGAAGGAACUGUAAUAGCUAUUGUUUCUUCGCAAAGCCUCGGGAAAGUUUCUUCGCAAGAAGAAGUAUCCUGACAAAUGGAAACAUUUGUCGAGGAACGUAACAGAAACAUACCGCCACGUAUCGCAAGGUGCGGGGUAAGGGUUAAAUCGUGUGGUAAGAGCACACGCGUGGCCGUGGUGACACGAUCGCGGGACAAACACCUAUCGGGUGCAAGACGAAAUACCGUCGCAUGAGUCUCUGUAGCAAUACAGGACCAAGAGAGAUGACUACCCCGUCUGAGCAAUCAGGCGCGACAGAAUCCGGCUUAUGUAUCGUCCAAGGAC